UGCCCAGCAACUCCUAUCCCUACCCACUCGUGGUACCGGCCGGAAACUACGAGCAACCUUAGGGAAGUUCGGGUAACCAAUCCCGGUGGGAACUUUGAUUGGUCGUAGGCUGACAGGGAAGG
rnacentral:ribozyme from 1 species